rnacentral:rRNA from 1 species
UAGGGAAUCUUCCACAAUGGACGCAAGUCUGAUGGAGCAACGCCGCGUGAGUGAAGAAGGUCUUCGGAUCGUAAAGCUCUGUUGUUGGUGAAGAAGGAUAGAGGCAGUAACUGGUCUUUAUUUGACGGUAAUCAACCAGAAAGUCACGGCUAACUACGUGCCAGCAGCCGCGGUAAUACGUAGGUGGCAAGCGUUGUCCGGAUUUAUUGGGCGUAAAGCGAGCGCAGGCGGAAUGAUAAGUCUGAUGUGAAAGCCCACGGCUCAACCGUGGAACUGCAUCGGAAACUGUCAUUCUUGAGUGCAGAAGAGGAGAGUGGAACUCCAUGUGUAGCGGUGGAAUGCGUAGAUAUAUGGAAGAACACCAGUGGCGAAGGCGGCUCUCUGGUCUGCAACUGACGCUGAGGCUCGAAAGCAUGGGUGGCGAACAGGAUUAGAUACCCUGGUAGUCCAUGCCGUAAACGAUGAGCGCUAGGUGUUGGGGACUUUCCGGUCCUCAGUGCCGCAGCAAACGCAUUAAGCGCUCCGCCUGGGGAGUACGACCGCAAGGUUGAAAC